AGUUUAUGAGCUUGUCCAAGCAUAUAUUUUGAAAAUAUAAGAAAGAAUUAAUUUUCUAUUAACUU
rnacentral:tRNA from 1 species